UACUAUUCACUGGACUGCACAGCACAGAUGCAGCCCAAGUCCUUUUCCUCGCCCGCGCGCGCAGCCCACCAAGCAGGCCGGCCCGUUUUGGCUUAGCGAGCAGCCCAACACCACAGCGCACUUUUUUUUUUCUCUUUUCUUCUCUCUUCCGCUGACAGGGAAGGCCCGCAUGUCAUCCCCUUCCUCCACCCGUGUUCGUCAUGGAGACCACUCCCGAACCAGAUUCGAUCGAUUGGAUCGAUCUAUCCCCGCCCCCCUAGACCAUGGAAUCCACCUACAAGUGAUUGCCGAGUCCUCCUCUGCCGAUUUUUCUCUCCAAAAUCACAGUCUCCCGUGCCCUAGGUUGGUUUCGCGAUCUCGCCGGAGUUCCACCGCUGUUGACCUCCGUCGUCGUCGUUUCCGUCGCCUACAGGGAGUACCGAACCGAGCGCAAGAACCUCGAUCCGAAGAUCACAGCCACCGCCCGAGCUCCAGCCAUCCUCUCCGUCAAUCCCAUUCGCCACCGACGCCACUGAGGACUUCUGCGAGACCGCAGCAGAGCUCCGCGUCCCUUACGCUACCCGCCGGAGUAUGGAGACCACCGGAGCAGGCGCCACCAUCGCCACCCGAGCCGCCACGUCGCCGUUCUGUCCAAGUCCGGCGGCUUUCCUCUGUUCUUUCUCCGAUUGUCCGGAGUGUGAAGCGGAUCAGAAUUAAGCGUUAGAGUACUUCAACAACGUUCAAGG